CACGUUUAGGGUGCACGGUGGUUAGCACGUGCGCCUCACACCUUCAGGGUUGUGGGUUCGAUUCCCACCGUGG